CAGCAGCCGCGGGAAUACGGAGGGGGCUAGCGUUGUUCGGAAUUACUGGGCGUAAAGCGCACGUAGGCGGCUUGGUAAGUUAGAGGUGAAAGCCCGGGGCUCAACCCCGGAACUGCCCUCGAAACUAGGUAGCUAGAAUCUUGGAGAGGUCAGUGGAAUUCCGAGUGUAGAGGUGAAAUUCGUAGAUAUUCGGAGGAACACCAGUGGCGAAGGCGACUGGCUGGACAAGUAUUGACGCUGAGGUGCGAAAGCGUGGGGAGCAAACAGGAUUAGAUACCCGCGUAGUCCCUGUCUCUUAUAC
rnacentral:rRNA from 1 species